rnacentral:rRNA from 1 species
GCUAACUCCGUGCCAGCAGCCGCGGUAAUACGGAGGGGGUUAGCGUUGUUCGGAAUUACUGGGCGUAAAGCGCACGCAGGCGGUUUGUUAAGCUAGAUGUGAAAGCCCCGCGCUCAACGUGGGAUGGUCAUUUAGAACUGGCAGACUAGAGUCUUGGAGAGGGGAGUGGAAUUUCUGGUGUAGCGGUGAAAUGCGUAGAUAUCAGAAGGAACAUCAGUGGCGAAGGCGACUCCCUGGCCAAAGACUGACGCUCAUGUGCGAAAGUGUGGGUAGCGAACAGGAUUAGAUACCCUGGUAGUCCAUGCCGUAAACGGUGGGCGCUAGGUGUG